GAUGAACGCUAGCUACAGGCUUAACGCAUGCAAGUCGAGGGGAAACGGCAUUAAGUGCUUGCACUUUUUGGACGUCGACCGGCGCACGGGUGAGUAACGCGUAUCCAACCUUCCCAUGACUAAGGGAUAACCUGCCGAAAGGCAGACUAAUACCUUAUGGUCUUCACUGACGGCAUCAGAUGUGAAGUAAAGAUUUAUCGGUUAUGGAUGGGGAUGCGUCUGAUUAGCUUGUUGGCGGGGUAACGGCCCACCAAGGCAACGAUCAGUAGGGGUUCUGAGAGGAAGGUCCCCCACAUUGGAACUGAGACACGGUCCAAACUCCUACGGGAGGCAGCAGUGAGGAAUAUUGGUCAAUGGGCGAGAGCCUGAACCAGCCAAGUAGCGUGCAGGAUGACGGCCCUAUGGGUUGUAAACUGCUUUUGUAUGGGGAUAAAGUCAAUCACGUGUGAUUGUUUGCAGGUACCAUACGAAUAAGGACCGGCUAAUUCCGUG
rnacentral:rRNA from 1 species